rnacentral:rRNA from 1 species
AAUAGAUACCCUGGUAGUCCACGCCGUAAACGAUGUCGACUUGGAGGUUGUUCCCUUGAGGAGUGGCUUCCGGAGCUAACGCGUUAAGUCGACCGCCUGGGGAGUACGGCCGCAAGGUUAAAACUCAAAUGAAUUGACGGGGGCCCGCACAAGCGGUGGAGCAUGUGGUUUAAUUCGAUGCAACGCGAAGAACCUUACCUACUCUUGACAUCCAGAGAACUUAGCAGAGAUGCUUUGGUGCCUUCGGGAACUCUGAGACAGGUGCUGCAUGGCUGUCGUCAGCUCGUGUUGUGAAAUGUUGGGUUAAGUCCCGCAACGAGCGCAACCCUUAUCCUUUGUUGCCAGCGGUUCGGCCGGGAACUCAAAGGAGACUGCCAGUGAUAAACUGGAGGAAGGUGGGGAUGACGUCAAGUCAUCAUGGCCCUUACGAGUAGGGCUACACACGUGCUACAAUGGCGCAUACAAAAGAGAAGCGACCUCGCGAGAGCAAGCGGACCUCAUAAAGUGCGUCGUAGUCCGGA